GGGCGGGUGGCGAAACUGGUAGACGCAGCAGACUCAAAAUCUGCCCCUCGCAAGAGGAUGAGAGUUCGAUUCUCUCCCCGCCCA
rnacentral:tRNA from 1 species